UCAAACAGAAAGCUAAAUCAAACAGGAUUUGGUUCAGCUUUCUCAAAAUAGCAAAAAGUCGGCGGAAGCUGAACGGACUUAGCAUCUGCAUCCAUCGAAAUCGAAUUGCGCUAUUCAUCCCGGGAGAUGAAAAUCCGUGCUAGGGUUUAGGGUUUCCGCACUCAAUUCCAUCCACCCUUGGGAGCUACAGGCUCGUGGAGUCGGAUCGAUCGGUUCGGAUGGAGGAGGGGGACGCCGAGGCCGCGCAGAGGGAUGCGAUCACCGCGAAGAUGCGGCGCCAGGACUACGCCGGCGCGAGGACGCUGCUGCUGGAGACGCUGCAGACCAACCCCAGGCUGGAGGGCGCCCUGGAGAUGCUCUCUGUGCUCGAGGUCCUCUGCUCCGCGGGGAAAGCGCUCCGCGGCCGUGGGGUGGACUGGUACAGGAUCCUCCAGGUCCUGCCCGGGGAUGGCGCUGCCAGGAUUGAGGCGCAGUACUGGAACAUUGUAGCUCAGGUGGAGCCGGUCAGGAGCAAGCUGCCGGGUGCUGAGUUGGCUCUCCGGCUUGUUAACGAGGCAUACGCGGUGCUGUCUGAUCCGGAGAAGAGCGAGGGGUUUGAUUCGAGGGAAAUUUUUGCUCAAUUUGCUCAUUCUGGCGCUCAAUUUACAAUCGUUGAUUCUGACAAGUUGAACAGUCUUCACACAAAGGAUAUUCGGACAGUGGAUGUAACAAACAAUGAAGCCUCACAUAUUCAACACACUGACAAGUCAUGUUUCGAUGAAAGGAAUUCCCAUUUUUCAAAUGUAGCUAGUUCUUCCAAAACUAAGAGGAUGGAUCAUUGCUUUCCAGGUGAUGAUGGUGAGCUGCAGUCACCUGACGAUAAUCAUGUUGACAAGAAGCAGAAGAGUGUAUGUGAAAAGGGUGUGUAUUUUGUGUCUCCCUCCCAGGUAGAUUUGGACGGCUGCUUUGAUGAUCCAUCAGAUGCCAAAGAAGAUGAAAACUGCUCUAGCAAACAAUAUGAAUAUCAUAACUUUGAGGUUGAUAGGGCGAUAGAGAAUUUUGCUGCUGGCCAGGUUUGGGCAGCAUAUGACUGGGAGAAGUUUCCGCGUAGAUAUGCACUGAUAAGUAAGGUAUUGAUAGACAAGAUGCAGUUAUAUGUCUCAUGGUUCCAGCCCUGCCCGCGAUCUCAUGAAGAGAAGAAAUGGUGUUGUGCAGGCUUGCCUUUCGUUUGUGGAACUUUCAUUGCGGAAGAACGUCAAAUCUCACUAACUUGUCCAACUAUGUUCUGUCACCAAUUAUCCAGUGAUAACCUGAAUCAACAUCUUGAAGUAUAUCCUCAGAAAGGAGAGGUAUGGGCCAUCUACAGUGAUUGGGACAUUGCAUGGUGCACUGAUCCUGGGAUGUGGAAGAAGAGUGCCUUUUAUGUUGUAGAAAUUCUUACCAGUUAUUCAACAGGAUCAGGUUGCACAGUUGCACACUUGGUAAAGGUAGAUGGAUAUGCAAGUGUUUUCCGGAGGUACUUGAGGAGUGGAACAGAUCACUUGUUACAAGUCCACAGUGACAAUCUGCUCAUGUUUUCUCACAUGAUCCCUUCUUUUGGAUUUGCUCAUGGGGUUGAAACUAUGUUCGAGCUUGAACAUUCUGCGGUUCCAGAAAACCUACGGCACGAAAAUACAUUGGCAUGCAUUUCUCCUUUGUCCCCACUUCCAGGUUUACAUGAUGACACAAAUGGCCUUCGUGAAACUGCUGCUGCACAAUUCUCAAAUCCUUCAACAAGCAAAAUGGAUUCAGAUGGCCCCUUGCAAUGGAUGAUGAGCUCCGAUAACAAGUUGUCCCCUGAGGAUUUUCUGGAGGGGCAGAUAUGGGCUGUUUAUGAUUCUCAGGACCGGAUGCCUAGGUCUUAUGUCAGAAUAAUCCGUGUGGUUUCGUGUACUGCAGUUUUUGUGUUGAAGUUGGAACCUCACCCUAUGCUUAAUGAAGAAAUACGGUGGGUUGAAGAUGGCCUACCGAUUGCUUGUGGGGUAUUUCGAGCUGGUACUGAAACUACUCACAAGGACAUUUGGGAAUUCUCUCACCCUGUAGAGUGUGAUUGGAGUGCAAAGAGGUCUUUCUACCGCAUUUUCCCAAAGAAAGGGGAAAUAUGGGCAAUGUACAAAAAUUGGAACAUCACCUUGAAUAGCACUGAUAUUGACAAAUGUGAACCUCGCAUGGUUGAGAUCCUCUCAGACUACUCUGAUGAAAAUGGAGUCAAUGCAUGUGGCUUGGCUCGGGUAAAAGGCCGCCUGACCUUUUUCCAUAGGGUAGUAAUGGAAGAUUUCCAUUUGACAAGGUGGAUUCCAAGGUCUGAAAUGCUCAGCUUUUCCCAUCGUGUUCCUGCUUACAUUGUUAUUGAAAUCAAAGAUCAUGAUAUACCAAAAGGGUCCUGGCAUCUGGAACCAAGUGCCCUUCCUACAAGGAUCAUACAUUGAAACAUGGAUAGAAGCAGAAGUAGCCAAUGACCUAAUUGUAGCGAAUCAAACCUUUGCUCCAUUUUGAUCAGGACUGACAGGUGUAAAAAUUAGGAGAACAAGGUUUUUACCAUGAAAAAAAAAAGGCAAAACCAAACGAGAAACCAAUGUUACUGAAAUUAUGGUCAUCCUAAAAGCAACAACUGAAACAUUGUAUUACUGUAGCAUUAUUUUACCAUUGCCCUCCACUACCCAUUUGCAUUGCUACAGGCUCCCCAGUUGGGGUUAUCUGUUGAUCAACCCUUCUGUUUGGUUGCUUCUUGGUGAGCCCUGUAUGCAAUCACCAUCUGUUUCAUUCAUAAAUAAUGUUUAGUGUAAUGGAGCAUGAAGGUAAUAAAUUAAUGAAAAAUGAUCCCUCUUGAGUGGAUCUGCCAACACUGCAGUGUCGUCAAAGAAAACAAACCCAUAAUCGUCAACCAAUAACAUGUGUUUUAAACUUCCCUGUGAGAAGGUGCGCAGAAUAUCUUUGUCAGUACUCAAUAAUUUUGUUGAGAUGUUUUGUCUUUGUAUCAACAUAUGGUCUUUGCAGACUUACAAACAAGAAAAUGAUGUCUUCUGUAGUCACCCGCUUAAGCUGUUUGAAGGUCCAUAUCAGAACAGUAUCAAUCAAAUAUUGCUGACUUUGUGGAUACACCAAAAGAUUCUUUUUUCUUGUUAUUUGGAUGUCUUGCAAGUAUUGUUAGGUACUUGAUUUCUGUCUUCACUUUCAGCGAAUCCUAUACAUCCAUACAUAUGUCAGUACUGUGAUGUUUACAAUUCCAAUACAACAAUUGAGUUGAGAUAAAAUAUCCAAACCAGAAACACUGAAUUUUGUCCAUUUCUUGCGUGCUGGAUAUAUUUUUUCUCAGUUUCAGCCUUGUAAUUUUCUCCAUUCAAAGGAAAUGGUAGGUUAGAAUAACUAGUGUAUUUUGUGGUCUUUUCAUGUGAUGUAGGCAGCUUAGAAUAAAAAUUCGACAGUACCUUGACAUAAUUGUACUUUUGGUGAUCAGACUAUGGUGUGCACUGUAUUGUGUUGUCAUUUGUAGUACGCAACUAGUUUCCAAUACGUGUAAUUGCUUGUGCUUAUUAAACUUAUUAUAUUUCCCAUUUUUUCAGACAAGUCGUCACCAGUUCAUUCUGCUGAAGUGCAACUGUUUUUACAUUCAAAUAUGAAGUUUCCUAGCUUCCAACUGGCUUAAUGAAACUUAGGAAUGACAGUGACAGAUGAAUUCAUGAUUCAGUAAGAGACGUGAAGCAUUCUGUGGUAUUAACAUGCAGAUCUGGAGAUUACUUCCUAUACCAUUCGGGUGUCAAUACCACACCUAAAAGUAUAGCGAAAAAUUAUGUUACACUGGAAACUACACGUUGUCACUGUGGCUCAAAGUGGAAGCUAUUGUCCUCGCUGAUGUUGAAACUUGAAAGUGCCAUCUUGGUCAGUAGCAUGCUCAGAAAGGGAAGUAGGUGGGCAGAACCAUGUUCGAACUGCCCCUUGUUUUUUACAAGGAGUUAACAGCGUUUUCUGAAUUUUCCGUAGGGUACUUCAGGUCUUCAGGCUUCAGCUGCUUAUGGUGAUUUGCUUCGUCUGCUAUUUAACUGCUAACACGUUUUCAUAGUAAUUAGUUAGCAUGUCGGUUUGUCCUUAAAAAUAGAUGCUAACCAUCAAGAAAGCGAAAGUGGUUUAUCAAAAUUAUGGGGUCAGUCUUGUGUAUGACAUCAAUCAGGGUCACUGAGCUUUGGUAAAAUAACGAAAGUGGUAAUUUUUUAUUCAAGCAUCAUGCUAACUUCCAAGCAGAUGCAGUAAAAAAAUGGUACAAUAAUAACAGAGCUGCAGAGGAGAAAAAUACUAUGAUGGGGAAAUUGAACGAUCUGAAGCAUCAUGCUAACUUAGUAACAAUCCAGAUCUGAAGCAUUAUGCUAACUUAGUAACAAUCCAGCUAGUCGGCAAAGGUAAAUAUCUUCGUUUCAUCCUUUCAGUAUGUUCUUCUUUUCCCAUGUUAAUUUUUUCUAUUCAAUGUAUAGAGAAUUAUUCUGAUGAUUAAUUUUGUGUCUCCUACUCUAAUUGUAGCAUCUGAAAAAGGCAGCUUUAAGAUGAAAGGAUGGAUUAUUAACGGAGGUUAACUAUCUUAGAAGUGAGCUUCAGCGAGUAAAUUGGCGCAAAUAAAUCAUUUGUUGACUAUGUUAGGAAGAUAGCAGGAAGUGAAAGGAAAGGCUGAAGUACAUUUCAUAUGCGCCAAACCUGUGGACAUUCCUUUUACAAACAACGUGUUUGUCAGAAACCCCAGAAGACAUUCCUUCUCUUCUGAGCCAGAAUCACAGAACCCAGGAUGAGAAAUGGAACACCAAGUUCUCGUACUGAGCCUGGAAGCCAGAAUCACAAACAUGAUGAACUUAGUGCCGAUGGUAACUGUAGCGAGCGUGCUGCCGAGUGCCGACAAGAUGUUUCUUUUCCUUCUUACUAAAAACGCCCACUUAAUUCUUUGUGGCUAUGGCGCUAACAUCACCGACAUUUUUGUGGCUCAGUUUCUUCCAGAAGUAAUUGUUUGAGUUGAUUUUUUUGAGAGCUAGAUAAUAGCAUAUUCUACGCUGUAUAAUUUUUCAUGAUUAU